UACGAAGGGGGCUAGCGUUGCUCGGAAUCACUGGGCGUAAAGGGUGCGUAGGCGGGUCUUUAAGUCAGGGGUGAAAUCCUGGAGCUCAACUCCAGAACUGCCUUUGAUACUGAAGAUCUUGAAUAUCGUGGAGGUAAGCGGAAUAUGUCAUGUAGCGGUGAAAUGCUUAGAUAUGACAUAGAACACCAAUUGCGAAGGCAGCUUACUACACGAUCAUUGACACUGAGGCACGAAAGCGUGGGGAGCAAACGGG
rnacentral:rRNA from 1 species